rnacentral:misc_RNA from 1 species
GAUGAAGAACGUAGCGAAAUGCGAUACGUAAUGUGAAUUGCAAAUUCAGUGAAUCAUCGAGUCUUUGAACGCACAUUGCGCCCCCUGGUAUUCCGGGGGGCAUGCCUGUCCGAGCGUCAUUGCUGCCCUCAAGCACGGCUUGUGUGUUGGGCCCCGUCCUCCGAUCCCGGGGGACGGGCCCGAAAGGCAGCGGCGGCACCGCGUCCGGUCCUCGAGCGUAUGGGGCUUUGUCACCCGCUCUGUAGGCCCGGCCGGCGCUUGCCGAUCAACCCAAAUUUUUAUCCAGGUUGACCUCGGAUCAGGUAGGGAUACCCGCUGAACUUAAGCAUAUCAAUAAGCGGAGUA